rnacentral:rRNA from 1 species
UAUGUGAUCGUCUCUCGCAUAUCAAUAAGCGGAGGAAAAGAAACUAACAAGGAUUCCCCUAGUAACGGCGAGUGAAGCGGGAAGAGCUCAAAUUUGAAGUCUUAAAGGGUUUCCCUUUACGAAUUGUAGUUUAAAGAAGUGUUUUCUGUUGAGGUUUUGGUAAAAGUUCUUUGGAAUAGGACAUCAUAGAGGGUGAGAAUCCCGUAUUUGACCUUUACUUUCAACUUUGUGAUACACUUUCAAAGAGUCGGAUUGUUUGGGAAUGCAGUCCAAAAUGGGUGGUAAAUUUCAUCUAAAGCUAAAUAUUGGCGAGAGACCGAUAGCGAACAAGUACCGUGAGGGAAAGAUGAAAAGAACUUUGAAAAGAGAGUUAAACAGUACGUGAAAUUGUCAAAAGGGAAGCGUUUGACACCAGUGUUGUUUUUCUGAAAAUCAAUUAAAGAACUGUUUAUGCUAAGUUGUUUAGACUUUAUCAGCUAACUGUUUAGUUUUGAGCUUUUCUUUAAUGCACUUUUCAGUUAACAAGUCAACAUCAAUUUCUUUUGCUGUAAAAAAGCUUGAGGAAGGUGGCUUGAGAUUCGUCUUAAGUGUUUAUAGCCUCUUGCCUAUGCAGUCGGAGAGAUUGAGGUCUGCAGCGUAGAUCCUUCGGGGCUAAAUGCAUUUGUGCUAAGUUAUAGCAUUUUAUAGACAACUUGUUGACUAUGAUUUGUCUUGUAGCUUACUCGCUUAUGUUAUUUUACCUACGCUUAGGAUGUUGACUGAUAUGUAGUCGU